AGCUUUGCGCAGUGGCAAUAUCAUAGCCAAUGAGGUUUACCUGAGGCGUGAUUAUUGCUAAUUGAAAAAAAAAUUCACUGCAGUCUGCACAUAAGUUUGUGCCUUUACCUUAUUUAAUUCUAGGACUCUUUAAAA